rnacentral:rRNA from 1 species
AAAUUGAAGAGUUUGAUCAUGGCUCAGAUUGAACGCUGGCGGCAGGCCUAACACAUGCAAGUCGAACGGUAGCACAGAGAGCUUGCUCUCGGGUGACGAGUGGCGGACGGGUGAGUAAUGUCUGGGAAACUGCCUGAUGGAGGGGGAUAACUACUGGAAACGGUGGCUAAUACCGCAUAACGUCGCAAGACCAAAGAGGGGGACCUUCGGGCCUCUUGCCAUCAGAUGUGCCCAGAUGGGAUUAGCUAGUUGGUGAGGUAACGGCUCACCAAGGCGACGAUCCCUAGCUGGUCUGAGAGGAUGACCAGCCACACUGGAACUGAGACACGGUCCAGACUCCUACGGGAGGCAGCAGUGGGGAAUAUUGCACAAUGGGCGCAAGCCUGAUGCAGCCAUGCCGCGUGUAUGAAGAAGGCCUUCGGGUUGUAAAGUACUUUCAGCGGGGAGGAAGGUGUUGUGGUUAAUAACCGCAGCAAUUGACGUUACCCGCAGAAGAAGCACCGGCUAA